rnacentral:rRNA from 1 species
ACGGGAGGCAGCAGUGGGGGAUAUUGCGCAAUGGGGGAAACCCUGACGCAGCAACGCCGCGUGAAGGAUGAAGGUUUUCGGAUUGUAAACUUCUUUUAUGAGGGACGAAAAAAAUGACGGUACCUCAUGAAUAAGCUCCGGCUAACUACGUGCCAGCAGCCGCGGUAAUACGUAGGGAGCGAGCGUUGUCCGGAUUUACUGGGUGUAAAGGGUGCGUAGGCGGCUAUGCAAGUCAGAUGUGAAAUCUAUGGGCUCAACUCAUAAAUUGCAUUUGAAACUGCAAAGCUUGAGUGAAGUAGAGGCAGGCGGAAUUUCCUGUGUAGCGGUGAAAUGCGUAGAGAUAGGAAAGAACACCAGUGGCGAAGGCGGCCUGCUGGGCUUUAACUGACGCUGAGGCACGAAAGCGUGGGUAGCAAACAGGAUUAGAUACCCUGGUA